rnacentral:rRNA from 1 species
GAUGAACGCUAGCGGCAGGCCUAACACAUGCAAGUCGAGGGGUAUGGCAGCAAUGCCAGAGACCGGCGCACGGGUGCGUAACGCGUAUGCAACCUACCUUUUACAGGGGAAUAGCCCAGAGAAAUUUGGAUUAAUGCCCCAUGGUAUAUCGAGAUGGCAUCAUCAUGAUAUUAAAGUUCCAACGGUAAAAGAUGGGCAUGCGUCCUGUUAGCUGGAUGGUAAGGUAAUGGCUUACCAUGGCUACGAUAGGUAGGGGUCGUGAGGGGGAGAUCCCCCACACUUGUACUGAGACACGGACCAGCCUCCUACGGGAGGCAGCAGUGAGGAAUAUUGGACAAUGGACGCGAGCCUGAUCCAGCCAUGCCGCGUGCAGGAAGACGGUCCUAUGGAUUGUAAACUGCUUUUGUACGGGAAGAAGCACUCCUACGUGUAGGAGCUUGACGGUACCGUAAGAAUAAGGAUCGGCUAACUCCGUGCCAGCAGCCGCAGUAACAC